rnacentral:lncRNA from 1 species
GAUGACAUGCCUCUGUCCCUUGUCAGCGCACAACUCGAUUGACCCCUGGAGUUGCUUCAGCCUUCCAAGGUGACUUGUCAUGCCAAUGUACUUGACGGGCAUGUCGAGGUGCCUCAGAUUGAUCAAGCUGCACAUGCCAUGAGCUGGGAAGCCCUGAUCAAGCGUGCAUUUCUUGCCCAGGGACAGAGUCUGCAGAUGCAACAGCUUUGUAACGGCGGCAGGAAGGCUCCUGAUGGUAUCCGGGAGGCCUAGGUACCGCAGAUGUUUACACUUGCCGAUGCCUUUUGGCAGAUCGACGAUCUGUGUGCCAGCCAAGUCCAGCAUAGUGACGGCCUUGAGUUGCUCGGUUACUUCCUUGUCAAUUGCGGAGCCCUCGAAGACUAAUAACGUCUUCAACUUGUUAAGCACAGGGUUUUCCAUCUCCUUAAGCUUAGCCAGGGCAUGGCAUCCUCCACCGAUCAGGGAUAGGUGCCGAACACUUUCCGGGACUAUUGUAGGGCUGCUGGUAAGAUCCUCAUGGCUAAACCUGUGGAAAUACUUCGUGGGCAGUGACAGGAGCAUCGAAUGGACCAGCUCAGGAAGGACAAAGUAGGUUCGUCCGUCUUCCUUGAUGGAUUUGAACAAGGACCUCGCCUGUAGAUCUCUAAUGUACUUUUUCCCUAUCUCCACAUUCCCGUUGUCGUCGCCGCGGAUGAUGCCAUUUGCUAUCCACAUCUUGACGAGCGUUUCAGGCUCGAACUCCCACUUGUCCGGGAACAUGCUGCAGAAUCCCAAGCAAGAUCUCAGCUGCGGCGACAGAUUCCAGUAGCUCCAUGCAUCGCCGGCGCCGGAGUGUCCUGAUCCCGGCUUUAAGAGGCCCUUCCAGCCGCUCUUGCUCCUCUUGUCUGUCAGCUUGCCGACGGCAGCUUUCGCUGCCGACGGUGAGCCCCUGAGACACACCGCGACGCUUUGGAUAACAUCGUCGAGGAGCGGGGUCUCUGCAUGCUCGUCCCCGAACGCCGUUUGCUUCAGCACCAGCGCGAGGUCGGCGGCGCCGAUCCCGUCCAGCACGAUCCUUGUCCCGGCGCCGAGCGCCCUGACGCACAUGUUUGCUUGGCUCGUCAUCAGGAUCCUGCUCCCUGGCUUUCCGCCUUCGAAUGAGGCUAGCACGUCCUCCCACAUCGUCUUUGUAAGACAAUAAGUUUUGGGGAAUCAGCACAACCCUCUAGGGGUGGCUUAUCUCAUUAUAUAUAAUGGAUGUGUUACAAUACGUACAAUAUACGUACAUAAGUACAGAAGCUAUACAUAGUCUAACAUCCUCCCUCAAUCUUAGCCACUUUCUAAAGAACUGAGAAGGGUAAGAUUGCGCCUACAAGUCUCAAACUGUGGUAGAGGUAAAAGCUUAGUGAAGAUGUCUGCAAGUUGAUCCUUAGAUGAGAUAAACUUGAUCUGGAGUUGCUUCUGUGAUACACGUUCCCGUACAAAGUGAUAGUCAACUUCAAUGUGUUUCGUUCGGGCAUGAAAUACUGGAUUUGCAGAAAGGUAUGUAGCACCGAUGUUAUCACACCAAAGAAUAGGAGGCUGUGGUUGAGACAAACCCAACUCCUAAAGCAAAGACUGCACCCAAAUAAUCUCUGCAGUAGCAUUAGCCACAGCCUUGUACUCAGCUUCAGUACUGCUACGUGACACAGUAGCCUGUUUCCGAGCACUCCAGGCGAUCAAAUUAGGGCCAAAGAAUACUGCAUAACCCCCCGUGGAUCGCCUGUCAUCUGGGCUACCAGCCCAAUCUGCAUCAGAGAAGGCCGAAAGGACCCGAGAGGAAGUCGGCCGAAUAUGCAUACCAAAUGUCAGGGUGAACUGAACAUAACGAAGAAUGCGUUUAACAGCAGCCCAAUGAGUAUCUCUGGGAUCCUGAAGAUACUGACAAACCCUGUUAACAGCAUAAGAGAUAUCUGGUCUCGUGAUCGUCAAGUACUGAAGUCCACCAACAAUGCUCCUGUACUCUGUGGCAUCCGCAGGAGACAAAAGCUCACCAUCAAUAGCUGUUAUCUUGUCGGUAGACGACAUGGGUGUGGUGGUCGGUUUGCACUUCAGCAUGCCCGCUCUUUGUAACAACUCCAAGGAGUACUUCUGCGUAAGGACAAGACCAGUAGCACGAGAAGUAACCUCAACUCCAAGAAAGUAGUGAAGCUUCCCAAGAUCUUUGACCGCAAAAUCAGCACCAAGAGAGCAGACAAGAGCAUCAGCAGCAUACUGAGAAGAGCUAACAAGGAUAAUAUCAUCGACAUAUACCAAAAGAUACAUAGUGACUUCUGGCUUCUGUAGAAGAAAUAAUGAAGUGUCAGCAGUGGACGGCACAAACCCAUGAGCACGAAGGGCAGAGCCAAGGCGGGCAUGCCAGGCACGAGGAGCUUGCUUCAAACCAUAUAGUGCUUUGGAGAGACGACAUAUAUAGUCAGGACGAUCAGGAUCAGAGAAACCAGGCGGCUGUUUCAUAUAAACCUCUUCCUCCAAAAAACCAUGUAGAAAAGCAUUCUGCACAUCAAGUUGACGAAGUGACCAACCACGAGAAACAACAAUGGAGAGAAGAAGCCGAAUAGUGGUAGGCUUGACGACAGGACUGAAGGUGUCUUCAUAGUCAAGACCAUGACGCUGCCGAAAACCGCGAGCAACAAGUCGCGCUUUGUAACGCUCAAUAGAUCCAUCCGAAUGCUUCUUCACUUUGAAUACCCAUUUUGAGUCAAUAACAUUUACCCGUGGUGGUGGAGGAACGAGAGUCCAUGUCUUGUUACGAAGGAGAGCAUGAAACUCCUGCUCCAUAGCCUCUCGCCAAUGUGGAAUGCGCAGGGCAGCCUGAUAUGAGCGAGGCUCAGAAGAUGGAUCCGCAACAGCAGCAGCCAAACAAGCAGCCAACCAAGCAACCGUACCAUCCUUACGUUCCUUAGGUUUGAAAAUGCCACUGCGACUGCGUGUAUGUGGUCGGGACAUAGGAACCAGCGAGGUCGACGGAGCAGCCUGCAACGGGCUGGAGGACGGCGACGUUGACGAGUCAGCCGGUGACGAGGAGCCAGACACAAUAGCCUCGGGCUCGGUCGGCGAAGAAGGCCGGCCCACCGGCGAAACCGGCAGAGCAGACGAAGCAGCUGGCGACGCCGGCGUCACAGACCGGGCCGAUGGCGAGCCCGGCAUAGUGGGCCGUGGCGCGGCCGGUGUCGCAGGCCGAUCCGCCGAUGAAGGCGACGUGAGGACGGCGUCGCGGACCCGAGCUGCAGGCGAAGACGGCGUGACAGGCCGAGCCGCGGGCGAAGACGGCGUGACAGGCCGAGCCGCUGAAGACUCGGCGGCCGCUGGCGAAGAGGGCCGAGCCGCUGGAGACUCGGCGGUCGGUGGCGUAGCGGACCGAGCAGUGGAGAUGCUCGGCGCGACGGGCUCUUCGGGUGACCAUGCAUGGGCACGCGAAUCGAUGCCAUGCAACAUAGGGCGAUCGACGUGCCCAUCAGAAGGCGGUGAUGAUGAUGGUGAAUCCUCCAACAGCUCCAAACAAGCCCCACGUCCGGUUCCUGCACCAUGGUUAGGUAACAGCAAAGGAGAGUAUGCAACAUCAUCAAAUUGGUCAGAAGCAACAGAGGAUGAAUGCAGAGAUGGUGGUUCGACAGUGGACACAGGAAGUUUGGCAAAGGGAAAAACAUGCUCAUCAAACACGACGUCCCGAGAUAUAUAGACACGAUUAGUGGGAACAUGAAGACAUUUGUAACCUUUAUGAAGAGAGCUAUAGCCAAGAAAAACACACUUCUUAGAACGAAACUCAAGCUUGCGCUUAUUAUAUGGACGAAGAUGCGGCCAACAAGCACACCCAAAUACCUUGAAAAAGGUAUAAUCAGGUUGUUCAUUAAGGAGAACCUCAAUGGGAGUCUUCAUGUUUAAAACACGAGUGGAAGUACGGUUGAUGAGAAAGCAUGCAGUGGUGAAAGCAUCACUCCAAAACCGAAACGGAACAGAUGCAUGGGCCAAAAGAGUAAGACCAGCUUCAACAAUAUGACGAUGCUUACGUUCGACUGAACCAUUCUGCUGAUGUGUAUGUGGACAUGCUAAACGAUGAGCUAUCCCAAGCGACUGAAAGAAGGAGUUGAGGUUGCGAUACUCGCCCCCCCAGUCCGACUGGACAUGAACAAUUUUGUGCUUGAGAAGACGUUCAACAUGUUUUUGAAACUGAACAAAAAUAUCAAACACAUCAGAUUUGCGUUUAAUAAGGUAAAGCCAGGUAAAGCGACUAUAAGCAUCAACGAAACUGAUAUAGUAAUUAUGACCACUGACAGAAGUCUGAGCAGGACCCCAUACAUCUGAAAACACAAGUUCUAAAGGAUGUUUCACCUCACGACUGGACUCCGAAAAAGGAAGUUGAUGACUCUUCCCCUGCUGACAAGCAUCACACACUGCUACAUCUUUAUUACUAGACAAACUAGGAAGCUCAUGACGACGCAAAAUAUGACGGACAAUAGGUGUGGCCGGGUGACCAAGACGAGCAUGCCACUGUGACGGAGAGACCCGAACUCCACUGAAAACACGGGCGACGCCAGGAUGCUUCAGACGGUAGAGGCCCUGGCACAACCGCCCACUAAGAAGAAUGUCCCUCGUGCCCCGAUCCUUAAUAAAAAGAUUAAAAUGGUGAAAUUCACAAAGCACAUUAUUAUCACGUGUGAGUUUAGGAACUGAAAGAAGAUUACGGGUCACAGAUGGAACUCGAAGAACAUUGCGAAGCUGAAGACUCCUAUUGGCAUGUCUAGUGAGAAGAGAUGCUUGACCAAUAUGAGAGAUGUGCAUACCUGCUCCAUUGGCGGUGUGGAUCUUGUCGGAGCCAUGAUAGGGUUCACGAGUGUGAAGCUUCCCCAUCUCGCUGGUCAGAUGCUCUGUCGCCCCAGAGUCCAUGUACCAGUGUGGAUCGAUGGAGUAGGACUGAGUGUGUCCCUGUUGCUUCUGCGGCGCGGGACGAUCAGCCAUGGCGACCUGACGGGCAUUGUUGCGUGUAUCUUUGCCGUCAUUGCCAAGACCAAGGAAGCUUCGCUGGAAGCGCUUAUGACACUUGGAGGCCCAGUGCCCAUCGCGGCCACAAAGCUGGCACACACGUGGACCGCCAGCCCCCGGUAAGGUCGCAGUAGGUGGGGGGGCCGAGGCGGGCGACGGUGGCAGCCCCAAGGGAGACCGGGGUGAUGAAGAAGAGCGGCCACCCUUGGUGGCGGCGUUGGCCGAGAGGGAGCCAGUGCCCCUGGAGCGGCGUGUCUCGACCCGUUGCUCAGUGAGAAGGAGCCGAGAGAAAACCUCGUGUGCCAGCAUGGGUGUCAAGUUGCCCCGCUCGUUGAUGAUCUCGACUAAGGCAUCAUACUCCUCAUCAAGACCAUUGACAAUAAACGAGUUGAACUCGGAGUCGGUGAGGGGCUGUCCAAUGGAGGCCAAUGUGUCGGCGAGGCCCUUGACCUUGUUGUAGAACUCAGUGGCAGUGGAGUCAAGCUUCUGACACUCUCCAAGCUGACGACGGAGUGCAGAGACACGAGCCUGGGACUGCGCUGCAAAGGUUCGCUCAAGGAUGGUCCAGGCCUCAUGAGACGUCUUCGCGAAGACAACAAGUCCGGCAACUGCCGGCGAGAGCGACCCCUGGAUGGAGGAGAGGUUCGCCUGGUCCUGCCCCGUCCAGACGCGAUGGGCCGGAUUGUAGACCGGACCGUGCACGCUGUCUACCAGUGCGGGUGGGCAGGGAAGCGAUCCGUCGACGUAGCCUAGCAGGUAGUGACUCCCCAAGAGCGGGAGAACCUGCGCAUGCCAGAAGAUGUAGUUGUCGGCGGAGAGCUUGACGGUGAUGAGAUGACCGAAGUGAAACGGCGGCGGCGAAGACGAUCCCAUCGAGGGGGCUGCCUGGGGUGCAAACACCAUGGAGGCAGCCGGAGGCACCGAAGCCGAUGCGGGAGGAGGCGGGACCGCAGCCAGGGCGGACGCCGCAAAGCUCGCGGCUGGGUCGGACGCUGCAAGGCCCGCGGCCGAGGCGGACGCCGCCAACCCCGCCAGCGGGGCGGUGUGAUCCGCUUGCGGCAGGAGUGGCGGGACGACGCCCGCGGAGUCCGCAGCGGACGGCGCCGCCGCGGUAUGGACCACGAGGUCGCGCCCAAGCGAGGGCGCCGGCGGCGUGGAGUAGACGGAGCCGAUGCUUCUGGUCCCGAUCGGAGCCGGAACGGCGACGGCAUCGAGCGGGAGGUUGAGCAGAGCCGCAAGAGAGGCCGGGAGGAACCCCGCAGCAGUGGAACCGGUGGUGGCGGCGCUCGACAUGGCGGCGGUGAAGGGGGCGGCGGCUGCGGCGGCGGUGCGGGUAUUAGGGUUUGGAAGCGGAAGCGAUCGUAACCUAGCGUGAUACCAUGUAAGACAAUAAGUUUUGGGGGAACCAGCACAACCCUCUAGGGGUGGCUUAUCUCAUUAUAUAUAAUGGAUGUGUUACAAUACGUACAAUAUACGUACAUAAGUACAGAAGCUAUACAUAGUCUAACAGUCUUCAUCUUGUCCCCAUGUCAUUGUCUGAUUCAUUGUUGCACACGUCAUCAAGCACAAGCAGGAACUUCUUGGAGCUGAACCUUUCACGAACGAUCUGCUGGAGAUUGCUGAACAGCAUCCCGGCUUCUGCUUGGCAUGUGGUUCCUUCCAUGGACUUGCAGAUCUUUGCUAACAGGUGGGUGUUGAGGAACGUGUUUGAAACAUGCACCCAUACCUUCAAAUCGAAUUGUUCCGCCACUCUGUGGUCGUUAAUUGCCCGCCGAGCCAUCGUGGUCGUCCCGGAGCCGCCGGGGCCGACCACGGCUACCACAUCCAUGUUGCGGCGGUUGUUGCUGCUGCUGGGCUGGUCGUUGAGCAAGGCUGACAUCAGCUGAUCAUACUCCUUGGUGUACCCAACGAAGAGCUUAUCCCCCGGCAACGGCAGCGGGCCCGUCGCCUUCUUCUCCAUUGGCUCGCAGGCGGCUUCUCCAGCAAAAAGCUGCAAUUUCUGAUCAAUUGUGGGCAGCUUCUUCCACACCUUCUCGAGCCGUCUGAACGGCUCGUCCUUGUAGACCAGCUGCCGGCCGGCUCUCCUCGCGGAGUAGGCGAAUUGUGUGAGCUUGUUGUGCUUCGCUGCCAAGUUGGCCAGGAGGAUGUCCUGGUAGAGAAAGGCAUCCAGGACGCCCUUCACCUCGUCGAUGGCAUCUAUGAGCUCACGCGUCGUCUCGUCGUCGUGGACGCCGCGCCGUCUCUCCAUGAUGGGCUCGGCUUUCUUCACGAUCUCCUCCAGCUGAGCACGCUCAUCGACGAAACGCUUGAAGCUUCUAUACCGGCCAUACAGGAAGGAUUUCGUCACCUCUGCGAGCUCCUUGAUGACCGGCGACAGCCCCCACCCGGUAACAGUUAAGGCGGUGGCCGGCAUGGCGCUGCGCCGAUCUGUGGUAACAAAAAAAGAGAAGGAACUAAUGAUUUGUCAAAACUACGUCUAAGCUGCUGGCUAGCAAGUAGGUAGGCGAUCAGGUCGCAUGGCACUCACGGAUCGAUCAGCAAGGACAGGAAGAAGAGGAUCGAUCGAACAUUAGCUUUGCUUCACAGCUCCAGAGGAAGGAGAAACCAGAUCUAGCAGCUGCAGAGAGUAAAGCUUCUGCUCCAAAAACAAAAACAAAAACAAAUGUGCAGAGCGAGCUCCAUCAAAUUAUUGGUGCAAGGCGAGUAGAACGAAAUAACCGAGCAUGUGCGAGACGCAGGGUGUGCCCCAUUGCACCACAUAAGAGACACUCACUAGAAGCCAUUUGGCAUGUGCGAGCGAAACACGGCGCGGCGCUUGAGUCAGAAAAGCUAUGCUGCCUUUUCACACCUGUUGGAGCUAUCGUGGCCAUCCCUUCGGCAUCUGACGGCUAUCACCAUGGGAGAGCCCUCAGGCGUCCACCCCGGUUAUUCGGGAAAAAAUGAACAAGUGGGGGAAAGAUCAUAUACCAUGGUGCCCUCGUUUGUUCAUAAUUUCAUUUUUUGUCAAAUAUUUUAUAUCUCCGAUAUAUAUGAGAGGCCUAGGAUACAAGUGUCCUACUUGGACACGAAUCCAUAUCUUACCUAACUACAAUACAACUCAGAGUCUAACUGUAGCCUACCUUGUACAAUAAUAUUCGAUACAACUCUAACAAACUUCACCUUGGCGAAUAUUCUUCACCACCUUGAAUUCCUCAAUGCGUCGAAUCUCCAUAUACAUUGGACUUGAGAUACGCCAUGAGCACCCCUGCUACUCCCAGACUGCAUGUGACUCCACAUGCAACUGUAGUUCCUUCUCAUCUUCUUCACAGUUAACACUCGAGCAAAAUUAAGUUCCUCAUUACUCUACUUUAUGCUCCUAACUUCCGGAGAAUCUGUUCAACGCCAUCACACACCGACAAUUGUCUGCGUGAAAGUGAACAACUCAUAUAUUGGACGCCACAUAUAAGAGUUACCUGAACUCAACGCCACCGCUCUUUCUUGACUGCUUGUGUGAAACUUGAAGGAAUUUCACCGUCGCCCUGUGUCACCCUAAGUCAAAUUCACAGUUGUCUCACUCUUUUUCCCGGAUAGUCUCUUGCAUGUCCCACAACUAUAGCACUCCGCCUCCUUCUGUACUUGUCAUCUGCACUCUGCCAUGUGCACCGAACAUCACAUAAUAUACGGCCAUGUACUCUCUCAGCUUUUGACAUUAAGACUUUCCGCCACUUUCUCAGAUUCUCCAUGGUCAACUCCCGUCCAUCUUCCAGUACCGAUAGACCCAGUCACCAACUUGAAUCUGGUACUCGUCAACGCUGCUUCGUGCCUCUGCUGUCCUAGUCGAGUCUCCUGGGUAGCUAGCCCCCACUGCCUCAACCCCCACUACAGAGAACCACCGAUCAUCAUCGACCGAUGCUGAGUAUCACGUCUCCAUCAGGCCACUGGUACCCCAGUCCGAUCCACGUGUCUCUCGCUAUCCCGUUGAAAUAGGCUUUGACUCUCUGUUAACUUACGCUGUAGCCCCUCCAUCAACUCGGAGUGAAGUCGUCCAUCAGACUCCAGCUCCACCUUUAACAUGACUAUAUGUAGCUGGCCGUGCUUAAGUGAGCUAUUUCCAAACUCCGGUUUGGGUGUCAGCGUGGUUGUGUUAGUGACAACACAGCUGCGGAGAUUUUGGUGCCAUCCUAUUCGCUCCCUAUGGGAUCCACAUACUUUAUGUAUCACGAAAUUGCUACAUAGCCCUGUGCACUUGCAGGACAUCAAACUUUUUCUGGUGCUAGCGCUUGGCUAUUACUUUCUUGUUCACAUUUAGUUUACUUUUGUUUGUUGCAAUAAUCUGCUUAUCAUCUCUUCUGAGAUGUCUACUCAGGAACAUAAAUUUUUGCAAUGGAGGAGAAGAGCGACAAAAUUCCACCUAUGGCUAUCGACAAUGAGAAGUUAAAAGAAUAGAUAGCACUACCGGAUGAAUGGACACCAAUUACAUGCGAUGAGUACUUUGUAACGCGCAAAGAUCGUAAAAUGAAAGGGCACUACGCUUAUCAAUGUAAGUACAAUGUUGAUCCUGCACCAGCAAAUUAU